UACGGAGGGAGCUAGCGUUGUUCGGAAUUACUGGGCGUAAAGCGCACGUAGGCGGCUUUUUAAGUCAGGGGUAAAAUCCCGGGGCUCAACCCCGGAACUGCCCUUGAAACUGGAGAGCUAGAAUCUUGGAGAGGCGAGUGGAAUUCCGAGUGUAGAGGUGAAAUGCGUAGAUAUGUGGAAGAACACCGGUGGCGAAAGCGGUUAUCGAGCUUAGACCUGACGCUGAGGCACGAAAGCAAGGGAGCAAACAGG
rnacentral:rRNA from 1 species